AGUUUGGUGGCUUAGAGGUUAUAGCGUCCGCCUCGGAUGCGGGAGGUCGCGGGUUAGAAUCCUAGCUGAGUCA